AUUGAACGCUGGCGGCAGGACUAACACAUGCAAGUCGAACGAGUGGCGGACGGGUGAGUAAUGUCUGGGAAACUGCCUGAUGGAGGGGGAUAACUACUGGAAACGGUAGCUAAUACCGCAUACCAUCGGAUGUGCCCAGAUGGGAUUAGCUAGUCGGUGGGGUAACGGCUAAACUAGGCGACGAUCCCUAGCUGGUCUGAGAGGAUGACCAGCCACACGGGAACUGAGACAAGGUCCAGACUCCUACGGGAGGCAGCAGUGGGGAAUAUUGCACAAUGGGCGCAAGCCUGAUGCAGCCAUGCCGCGUGUAUGAAGAAGGCCUUCGGGUUGUAAAGUACUUGCAGCGGGGAGGCGUUAACCGCAGAAGAAGCACCGGCUAACUCCGUGCCAGCAGCCGCGGUAAUAC
rnacentral:rRNA from 1 species